GACGAACGCUGGCGGCGUGCUUAACACAUGCAAGUCGAACGAUGACGGUGGUGCUUGCACCGCCUGAUUAGUGGCGAACGGGUGAGUAACACGUGAGUAACCUGCCCUUCACUCUGGGAUAACCUCGGGAAAUCGGGGCUAAUACCGGAUACGAGUUCCUGCCGCAUGGUGGGGAUUGGAAAGUUUUUCGGUGAAGGAUGGGCUCGCGGCCUAUCAGUUUGUUGGUGAGGUAGUGGCUCACCAAGGCGAUGACGGGUAGCCGGCCUGAGAGGGCGACCGGCCACACUGGGACUGAGACACGGCCCAG
rnacentral:rRNA from 1 species